rnacentral:rRNA from 1 species
UACGUAGGUGGCAAGCGUUGUCCGGAUUUACUGGGCGUAAAGGAUGCGUAGGCGGAUACUUAAGUCAGAUGUGAAAAUCCCGGGCUUAACUUGGGAACUGCAUUUGAAACUGGGUAUCUAGAGUGCGGGAGAGGAAAGUGGAAUUCCUAGUGUAGCGGUGAAAUGCGUAGAGAUUAGGAAGAACACCAGUGGCGAAGGCGACUUUCUGGACCGUAACUGACGCUGAGGCAUGAAAGCGUGGGGAG